AAUAAACAUAAUGGACUUAAAAACUAGCAGUGAAGGUCUGUUUUGAUCUCUUAACUAUAAUUUUGAGUAUUUUUAGUCCCUUAAGAUUGUAAAAAAGUGGAAUAAGCUUAUUUUUCUUAAUGGAGUUUGGUAUACCAAACUUAUAUUUGGUGCUUGAUAAGUACUUAGCAGAAGAGUAAGUCUAAGCAAAAGCCAGUGAAGAGCUACUAAUGAAGUUGUCUAAGGGGUUCAAAAACAACGAUAGCAUUUUUUAUUUUUUUUGAUCUAAAGGUGGCCAAAUUCAUUUUAUCUAGAUUUACGAGGCAUCGAGCAUAUCCAGGAAGGUUAGAAAAGGAGUUGAAGACAUGGUUUUGCAUCUGAUGUGUGACUGAUUGUGGAACAUACAUUUUUCAAGAGAUGGUUCAAUUAUCAGUGAUAGCCUUGGCUAGAAGUGUGGAGUUUGUUUCUCCAAGGCUAGGUUGAUUCCUCUCUGUAUGCAUAAUUUUAGUCCAUGUAGCAUAACCAAUGCCUCUGUCGCCCAAUACGUUUAGUAUACUAAAUAUAAUGGACUUAAAAAUUGAUGGUGAAUAUAAAAUAACCCAACCAAAAUCGAUUGAAUUAGUUAAUUUUAUGACCAGUCUAACAAUUGGCCAGUCGAUUGGUCAUAUUUUUUAAGUUGUGUUUUUAGGUUGUAACUAUUAGUUCUUAAGUUCAUCCUGCUAGUUGAGUUACGCGUUCUCCUGUUUAACAAACUUAAUGGACCUAAUGCAUUCUUAAAUUUAUCUAAAAUUUACAUAUAUAUACACAAAGUAACGUUACCUUAUUACAUUAAAUCCCAAUUUGGUAAAAUAUUUACACAAAUUUUAAACUAAUUACAUAAAUCCCCUUAUUUGAUAUUUUUUCUCUCUCUUAAACAUUAUACAUCUAAAACACGGUUUUUUCUUCUGUAUUUUGCUCCCACUUGCUUUCAUUAUCCAUCCGUAUUUUCCUCUAUAUCUGAAACCCAUCUUUCACGGCAAAAUUCAAGUAACGUCUACUUAGAGGUUACUAAUUUGUAAGCUAUCAAGCUUUAAUUGAUUUUACUGAUUUACUUCAUUAAUUUUUUGAAUUUGUUUUUCAACUUUACCGAUUCAGGAGUUUUUCCAAUUUUUCUUUGGUGCAUGUUGGUUUUGUAUGAAAAUAAUAGGAAAAUUCCUGGAUCACCCGUGAUAUUCAAGUUUUGUAGUUCGAUUUUUGCCUUUUUUUUUUUUUCAUAUACUACAAGUGAGAUCUUCAAUUUUCUUUUUUUGUAGUUACUGUUAAAUCAAUAUAAUCAAUCGUAUUUGAAGAACCUAAUUUUGCAUAGAAUCGUUCAAAGCAUUGAAACGACCCUGUUACAAUGAAGAGAUUGAAGGAAGUUGCAGGUUCUAGAUUGAAGAAGUCAGGUUCAAAAGCGGAAAGUAAAAAGAAGGUUGAUGAUUCUAGUCGACCACGUCUUCCGAAGGGACUGUGGCAUCUUUGUGUCUGCCUAUGCAGAAAUAUUAAGUGAAGGGCAGCAAAUCCAUUCAUGUGGGUUUGAUGAUGGAACUCAACGUGCACGCUAUGCUUCAUUACUAUGGCAUUACGGAGUGACAAAGGCAAAAGAAGGGUACACGAGUGAUAAUGAUGAUCCUCCUCGGCCAAGGAAUAGUUAUCUCCAAACAAUUGAUGAAAGUGCACUUGUUACUUUAGAGUAGCAUUUUUUUACAAUAGUCGGCAUUGAAACAACUAAUUCUUGAUUUUGUAGUUGAUGUUAAACGGUUACAAUGUUACCUUUGAGAUGUUAAUUCACAUUUUAUGAAUAUCCUUAUUCUUAUUAUACAUACAUAUCUUCUGAAGAAAUGUUCUGUAAUUACUUACACUAUAUUGUAAUGUUACUAAUAUAGUUUGAUAGUUAUUG